AGAGCAUCUUAUCUUCUCUCCUGCUUGUCUCAUGCAUGUGAGAGCAUCUAUCUCAUCUUCUGUCGUGAUAAAUCUUCCCUAUAAAUAGGGCAAGUGUUAUGCAAAUACUCAUAUCAGUCAAGUUCAGAGUAAGCUCGAGGUCCAUUUAGCUGGGUCUUAUUGAAGGCAUUGUUUUUAGGUGAACUCGGACUUUCUCCAGGGUGAAGAUCCAAGAUCUUCGAUCGAGCAACGACAACGCUUAUGCAUUGUUUCUUUCUUGGGGGCGUUGCUUUUGGAGAACCUCAUUUGUAUUUCGGGUGUUGUCUUCGGUGGUUGGUAGAGUGCUACUGAUGCUAGUGAUUCAUCACCGUGGCAGGGUCUUUUUUUCUGUUCCUUUUAUUUUCCUUUUUGGCUGUGUGUAUUCUUGAUGCCUUUGAACAUCUUGUUGGUAUAGAGGCCGGGUGUAAUUGGUAUCUUCAUGAUAUUAAUAUGUUCCUUUUGUCAAAAAAAUUAAGAUAGGAAGUAAGAAUUAUAUACAAA